rnacentral:misc_RNA from 1 species
UCUUUGAGGUGUCCUAUUGCACUAAACACUGUUAUUCUUUUUUGUUUGAAAUAUAUUUGGUCUAAAAUAUUUAAACUUUAUUCAAUAUUACAUAGUUGGUAGCGUGCAAUGAAACUUUCUUACUGAAAAAUUAAAAACUGAGCUUAUUGAAAAUGAAAUUAAUUUCACCAGAUUUUUAAAAGUAACAUCAGAAAGUUGGAUUCAUGUCAUUUAAUUCGUCACUCCUCGAAUGAAGUCAUCACCAUCAUCAUCAUCAUCAUCGUUGUAUUUUUAGUAUUACAAAGUGAUCUAGAAAACCAGAUUUAAAAAAAAAGUUUUAUGUAUAUUAUGUUGUAAAUCCUCAUUUGUAUCUUACAAAGACUUCAGUGUGACUUUUGACAAAUUUGUAUAUACAUAUAUAAUUGCUUCACUUAGUGCUAAAGACGUCAACACACCGUCAGCGGAGGUGUUGAUUGUUUUUGAAUAUGCAUUGCGCAUGCUUAGCUUUAUUAGCACUUAAAUGACACCACUUCUUGCUGUUGGUUAGAAAUGAUCACAGAGUGUAUAGAUGAAGGUUUUCGUCCCGAAUUCUGUUAGUAUUUUGUAUAUAUCACCUUUGUUGUCACAAGUUUGAUAGAACAAAUAAAAUGUUUUAGUUUC